rnacentral:rRNA from 1 species
UACGAAGGGGGCGAGCGUUGUUCGGAAUUACUGGGCGUAAAGGGCGCGUAGGCGGCCCUCUUUGUCGCGUGUGAAAGCCCCCGGCUCAACUGGGGAGGGUCACGCGAUACUGAUCGACUCGAAGGCAGGAGAGGGAAGUGGAAUUCCCGGUGUAGUGGUGAAAUGCGUAGAUAUCGGGAGGAACACCAGUGGCGAAGGCGGGUCUCUGGGCAUCUCCUGACGCUGAGGCGCGAAAGCGUGGGGAGCAAACGGG